rnacentral:rRNA from 1 species
UACGUAGGGAGCAAGCGUUGUCCGGAAUCAUUGGGCGUAAAGCGCGCGUAGGUGGCCCUGUAAGUCAGUUGUGAAAGUCAAAGGCUCAACCUUUGAAAGCCGAUGGAUACUGCAGGGCUAGAGUACGGAAGAGGCGAGUGGAAUUCCUGGUGUAGCGGUGAAAUGCGCAGAUAUCAGGAAGAACACCAAUGGCGAAGGCAGCUCUCUGGGACGGUACUGACGCUGAGACGCGAAAGCGUGGGGAGCGAACAGG